rnacentral:lncRNA from 1 species
GGGUGGCCCAACGCUGUCCAUCUCCCCCGGAGCUCAGAGCCAGAGGAAAUGGGUGUGAUUGGAGCCCGAACUUACUCACAACGCUGAACUUCCUGCCUAAUUCCCUUGGCUAUUUGUGGACUUUUACUCUUCUUUAUAAGUUUUUAGAAUUAAUCUUUCCACUUGAAAAAUCAUCUUGAAUUCAAGUUCCGGGGAUCUAAGGCACGGCAGGUGUGGCUGAACGGAAUUGUUGAAAUGUAGUAAAGCUCUGAAUCUGAGGAAAAAGCAUGUUAUCUAGGGUUCUAACAAUAUUAAUAUUUGAGGUGACAUCAUUCAUCAUGCCUUCUAAAAUGCACCAAAUGAUUAGUUUCAAAAUGAAAUCAGCCUGUUGAAGUAUUCACCCAAGAGACUUUAAGAGAUGCUUCUCUCCCAGUAACGGAGGAGGUUAGUUCUCGGCACGAGGCACAAAGGCAUGAGGUCAUGAACCACUCUCUGAAAUCUCCUUUAUUUCACAGCUCCCAAGUGUUAGAGAGAAUUAAUUGCUCAACUGUAAAAACUGGGUCCCAGAGAAGUUUCAAAAACCAGCCAGAUGGGAGAGUUUUACAGUAUACGUGCUCUCAUACCCAGCAGCAAAACACCGGAGGAGAAAAAAAAAGCUUACGUUUCCAUUGUCGGCACAAUACCUAUAAUUUUCCUUUGUUCUUGAGGAUACAAACUGAGAGCGAUUAAGGGCGAAAACUAUAUACCUGAAUUUUCAUAAUGUCGGGCGCUAGGAUUGUCAUCAUUUGCUCAGAAAAAAAGAUUAUAACUGCUUGUCAUUUUUGUGCAGAAAAAAGGAAUAUAAUGAAUCUUUUGAGAAACACACGCUUAGACAGCUUGAGCGUGCUUUGUCUCACGGACGCACGAGUGUUUAGCAGAGUGAUUAGCUGGUCUAGGGAGCAAACGCCAUAUGCAUUGUUUUCUGCUUAAGACUUUUCCCCUUAUUUUUGUAUUCUUUGUUUUGAUUGCUUUUUAUUAUAUUUUUAAUCCUUUUUUUUUUGCAUUCAUAUUUUAAUAUCUGGAUCCAGACCAACUAUUUCGGUCAGCGAGGAAGCAUGAUAUAGUGGAACAUGGGAAGCUCAGUUCAAAGGACCGACAUUCACUUAGUGGGACUUUAGGCAACCAUCACUUCUCUCAGCCUCCAUUUAUUCAUCUGACUCAGGAGGGGUUUGGGUGACCUGUCCUGUCAAACUCAAAGAGUCUGGAUAUCUUCUUGGACUCUUGGCCUUUGGAGAUGAUUCUUGAAGUUUCUAUAAAUGAAAGUGGAAAUCAGCCACUUUUUUAAAACCGGUGAGAAGCUUAGGGAACACAGUAAUGACCAUGUUUCUGUAAUCCCUGCGGAACCCAGUCAGAAACUGCCAGGAUGGCAAGGCGUUUGCGUGAUAGCGAGGAGCAAAGUCCCAACUUCAUAUAUCUUUCCAAAGUCCACAUUUCUCCUUCCAGCAAUU